AUGCGCNCCUACCACGCAAGUCGAACGGUAACAGACCGCUGUGAUCCCUUCGGGGUGAACUUGGUGCUGACGAGUGGCGGACGGGUGAGUAAUACAUAGGAAUCUGCCCAGUAGUGGGGGACAACCUGGGGAAACCCAGGCUAAUACCGCAUACGCCCUACGGGGGAAAGGCUUCGGUCGCUAUUGGAUGAGCCUAUGUCUGAUUAGCUUGUUGGUGGGGUAACGGCCUACCAAGGCGACGAUCAGUAGCUGGUCUGAGAGGACGACCAGCCACACUGGGACUGAGACACGGCCCAGACUCCUACGGGAGGCAGCAGUGGGGAAUUUUCCGCAAUGGGCGAAAGCCUGACGGAGCAAUCUCGCGUGAGGGAUGACUGCCUAUGGGUUGUAAACCUCUUUUUUCAGGGAGGAACAAAAUGACGUGUACCUGAAGAAUAAGCAUCGGCUAACUCCGUGCCAGCAGCCGCGGUAAGACGGAGGAUGCAAGUGUUAUCCGGAAUCACUGGGCGUAAAGCGUCUGUAGGUUGUUUAAUAAGUCAACUGUUAAAUCUUGAAGCUCAACUUCAAAAUCGCAGUCGAAACUAUUAGACUAGAGUAUAGUAGGGGUAAAGGGAAUUUCCAGUGGAGCGGUGAAAUGCGUAGAGAUUGGAAAGAACACCGAUGGCGAAGGCACUUUACUGGGCUAUUACUGACACUCAGAGACGAAAGCUAGGGUAGCAAAUGGGAUUAGAUACCCCAGUAGUCCUAGCCGUAAACAAUGGAUACUAGAUGUUGAACAGAUCGACCUGUGCAGUAUUAAAGCUAACGCGUUAAGUAUCCCGCCUGGGAAGUAUGCUCGCAAGAGUGAAAC
rnacentral:rRNA from 1 species